GAUGAACGCUAGCGGCAGGCUUAACACAUGCAAGUCGAGGGGUAGAGGAAGCUUGCUUCCUUGAGACCGGCGCACGGGUGCGUAACGCGUAUGCAAUCUACCUUGUACAGGGGGAUAACCCAGAGAAAUUUGGAUUAAUACCCCAUAGUAUUAUUGAAUGGCAUCAUUUGAUUAUUAAAGUUCCAACGGUACAAGAUGAGCAUGCGUCCCAUUAGCUAGUUGGUGUGGUAACGGCACACCAAGGCGACGAUGGGUAGGGGUCCUGAGAGGGAGAUCCCCCACACUGGUACUGAGACACGGACCAGACUCCUACGGGAGGCAGCAGUGAGGAAUAUUGGUCAAUGGGCGCAAGCCUGAACCAGCCAUGCCGCGUGCAGGAUGACGGUCCUAUGGAUUGUAAACUGCUUUUGUACAGGAAGAAACACUCCCUCGUGAGGGAGCUUGACGGUACUGUAAGAAUAAGGAUCGGCUAACUCCGUGCCAGCAGCCGCCGCAGUAA
rnacentral:rRNA from 1 species